GCCGGGAUGGCAGAGUGGACAACAGAGUGUCCACAGUAACUCGGGUCUCGAGGGUUCGAAUCCCUCUCCCGGCGCCA
rnacentral:tRNA from 1 species